AGUUAGCUGACGAGUCCCAAAUAGGACGAAACGUGAUUUAUGCUGAAU
rnacentral:hammerhead_ribozyme from 1 species